GCCGGUGUCCGUAGUUUAGUCGGUAGAACACCCGACUAUGGUGCGGUAGAACUCGAGUUCGAACCUCGCUGAAGGCA